AACGUAGGUGGCGAGCGUUAUCCGGAUUUACUGGGCGUAAAGGGCGCGUAGGCGGCAGAUCAAGUCAGGGGUGAAAUCCGGCAGCUCAACUGUCGAAGUGCCUUUGAUACUGAUUUGCUCGAGGGAGAUAGGGGUCUGUGGAACUUCUGGUGGAGCGGUGAAAUGCGUUGAUAUCAGAAGGAACGCCGGUGGCGAAAGCGACGGACUGGAUCUCUUCUGACGCUGAGGCGCGAAAGCUAGGGGAGCAAACGGG
rnacentral:rRNA from 1 species